AUUCGACUCCCUCCACUUUAUUGAUGUAUAAUUGUACUUUGCUUAUAAGUUACCUUAUAAUAGCUAUUUGUUGUAUUCUUAAGAAGUCAUGUGUUGAACAGUUUUCCAGAUAAGAAAAAUUAGAGCUAUGGGAAAAGUCCGUGGUGGGCUUGGCUCUUCGUUCCAGCCGUGUAGCCUGUUUACUUUUCUGUGGGGCAAAGUCUUCAGCUCACCAGUUGGGCUUUGGUUGUGUAACAUCUUGGAAGAAGUCGGACACUCCGUUGAUUUAAAGGCAUUGACCUUGGAGCCCUCAUUGGACGGGCUCUGCGGUGCAGCGGUGGUCUGGGGUGGAGGCGCCUGGAGCGGCAGGCUGCAGCCCGGAGUGUGAGCUGGCCUCUCUGCGCGCAUGCGUGCUCUUCUUCGCACUGAAAACGAGUCCCCACAGAAUGUCUGGGGAGGUCCCCCUCUUUGUAUCGCGUCUAGUGUGCAGAGGAAGAGGGGAUGGAAAUCUACUGCAUCUGGGUCCUCAUCAAGGGAAGUUAGAAUUUGAUUUUCUGCAAAAUGUUGAGUAAAACAAGUGAAAUGACAGUGAUGAAACAUACAUGUGUCAAAGUCAACCACUUGGAGACAGGUUCUAUUCAAAACUCAACUGUAGCUGUUUUGCCAUUGCUGGAGGAGCUUUCCAGAGGCACCAUUCCAGCAAGUGCACUUAUUUAUGUGCAAAGGGAAAGCAGUUCCACGUCCCAGGACUUGUAUGGCACCGUGUUAAGGGAGAAAAUAGGAAGACUGUAUAUCAGAGCCAGGAAUGAGAGAUUGGGACGCCCAUGGAAGCAACAUUUUCAGGAACAUGUCUCCCUCUGACGGUCAUUUGUUAGUACUACAGAAACCAACCUGGAACAGGAGUAAAGCUCAAAAACAAGUAGAAAUCCCUCUUCCUUUGAGGUAUGGUGUUGUUUUGUUUUGUUUUGUUGUUUUAGGGAGGGAGAGGGAAAGAGAAUCUUAAGCAGGCUUCACACCCAGCAAGGAGCUCAACACAGGGCUCAAUCUUAACCAUGAAAUCAUGACCUGAGCCAAAACAAGAGUCAGACACUUAGGCAACCAGGCACCUCACUAUGAUGGUUUUUUUUUUUUUUAAAGAUUUUAUUUAUUUUAUUUGACAGAUAGAGAUCACAAGUAGGCAGGGAGGUAGGCAGAGAG
rnacentral:lncRNA from 1 species